CCUACGGGUGGCAGCAGUGGGGAAUAUUGGACAAUGGGCGAAAGCCUGAUCCAGCAAUACCGCGUGUGUGAAGAAGGCCUUAGGGUUGUAAAGCACUUUUAAUAGGGAGGAACACCUAGUCGCUAAUACCGAUUAGAAUGACAUUACCUAUAGAAAAAGCACCGGCUAACUCCGUGCCAGCAGCCGCGGUAAUACGGAGGGUGCAAGCGUUAAUCGGAAUUACUGGGCGUAAAGCGUGCGUAGGUGGUUGUUUAAGUCAGAUGUGAAAGCCCCGGGCUCAACCUGGGAAUGGCAUUUGAUACUGGGCAACUCGAGUUUGGGAGAGGCAAGUGGAAUUUCAGGUGUAGCGGUGAAAUGCGUAGAGAUCUGAAGGAACACCAGUGGCGAAGGCGGCUUGCUG
rnacentral:rRNA from 1 species